rnacentral:rRNA from 1 species
GAUGAACGCUGGCGGCGUGCCUAACACAUGCAAGUCGAACGGAGUCGUUUUUGAAAUCUCUUCGGAGAUGGAAUUCUCGACUUAGUGGCGGACGGGUGAGUAACGCGUGAGCAAUCUGCCUUUAAGAGGGGGAUAACAGUCGGAAACGGCUGCUAAUACCGCAUAAAGCAUUAAAUUCGCAUGUUUUUGAUGCCAAAGGAGCAAUCCGCUUUUAGAUGAGCUCGCGUCUGAUUAGCUAGUUGGCGGGGUAACGGCCCACCAAGGCGACGAUCAGUAGCCGGACUGAGAGGUUGAACGGCCACAUUGGGACUGAGACACGGCCCAGACUCCUACGGGAGGCAGCAGUGGGGAAUAUUGCGCAAUGGGGGAAACCCUGACGCAGCAACGCCGCGUGAUUGAAGAAGGCCUUCGGGUUGUAAAGAUCUUUAAUCAGGGACGAAACAAAUGACGGUACCUGAAGAAUAAGCGCCGGCUAACUACGUG